GGUCGCGGGGAAUACAAAGGUGGUCCCAAUUUGGUUUCAUGAAUUCAUUCUUCAUGCAUCUUGGGCAAGGCUAUGUGCCCUGCACUAACGUGAAUACUGCAUGGAGUUUUUGCAAUCCGUAUGUUAACCAAGAUGUUGGUCCACCUUUACACGAAUGCAAAUACAUAUUCAUGCCGGUGUGUAGUACCAAUCAACGCCAUUUUGUCUUGUUCCUAUUCGCAGUUGAAGAUUGGAUGGUUACCAUAAUUGACCCG
rnacentral:lncRNA from 1 species